rnacentral:lncRNA from 1 species
AAUGUUUAGUAGCCUCAAGCUCAUAAGUAUGGGCACCUACAUGACCAUGAACAAGACUCUACUAGACACUGCUCCAUGACCUGGGACAUAAAGCCUAAGCUCUGAUACCAACUUUGUCACGUCCCAAACUACCCUCUAGACGUUAGUGGCACCCAGCUAACACCACAUGCCGGGAGAACCAUACUUUCUUACCUUAGCCAUUUAUUUGCAGCAUUUGAUUAAUUAAAUGAGUAUACAAAUAAUUUGAUAACUAUUACGAACAAUUAAUAUCUCAAAAUAUUAGAUUAAAACUCUGGCCCAAAUCCCACACUAGACCACGGAGCAUCUAAGAGAAUUACAAAAGACCUCAUAUGAAUAAAUGAUAAAGACUCUUUGGAUAUCCUCCACGAACAAUGCGGCGGCUCACCUCAAUAACUUAAUCAACUCUAGCGAACUCGUCGGCUACUAUCACCUUCUUCACCAAUAGUAUCUGCAUGGACAUGCAGGUAAGGAGUGAGUUAUACGUAAAUAUAACCCAGUAAGAUCAUCGACCCGCCACUCUGAUUACCUCUGGAACAAGUGUUAGAAAAACAAAUACACAACGAGCACACCAAUAAUAUGUACAGAAAUUAAUUACUAUAUAAGUUCCAAACAAUUAUUCAACAACAAUACUAUAUAUACCUCAACACAAUCUACACUAAGGACUUGUCAUUAACGGUAGUGUAGAAAAUUAACCAAACACCCCCACGAGUCCACGACAGCAUGCACAAUGCUUCAAAUCUAUCACGACAGCAUACAUAAUGCCCCAAAUAUAUAGCGGCGGCAUACACAAUGCCCAAAAAUCUAUCACGGUGGAAUACACAAUGCCCCAAAUAUAUAGAGGCGGCAUACACAAUGCCCAAAUCUAUCACGGCGGCAUACACAAUGCCCUAAAUAUAUAGCGGCAGCAUACACAAUGCCCCAAAUAUAUUACGACAGCAAAGAAAUAAUUUCUAAUGCUCCGACGCCAUACCACAAGGCUACGCCACAUCACACUACACUACAAAUCACUUAUUAAAUAAUUUUAGCUGUUAAAAAAAUAAUAUAUAUGCGGCUGGUCAAAGACCACGAUUUUGCCAAGCGCACGCUCAUUCCAACACAUGGACCAGGCAAAAAUAAUACAUACUUUCAAACGGAUUUUAGAAAAGCAAGCACCCAAAGCUUAAAGUCUCACUUACCUCACAAAUGACAAGUUUUCCAACCUUGCGACUUCUAGAACACCAACCAAACAGCCUCCAAUUGACUCAAUCUAUCCAAAAUAUUAAUUAACAAUGUCAACUAUGCUAGUCGGGUUAAUUUCUUAUAUUAGAGUACAAUUUGAUACUCGGCAUAUGGCAUGUUAACUACUUGACUAAUCUUUUAGUUACAUAGAUAUUCAAAAGCACAUUAAAGCUCAUUAAGACUAAAUUUAUUCCUAAGUAGAAUAUGAUAGUGUCGGUUUCAUAGAUACAUGUGAAUCUUUACCUGAAGAAUGAAUAUAUAUAAAUACAAUUAGUCCAAUAUUGUAUGAAGUUUUCUGGAAAAGAUUCCUAUGCCAAGUAUUCUGACUCCAUAAUACCAAUCUUAAAGGGCUUUGUUAUUAAUAACUAAUACUGAGGUUCUAUUAUAAGAUUCUAUGUAUUUUUCCAAGGUUUUCUAAGUAUAUGUCUGCCAUGAUCAGUAUGUAUCCAAAGUAAUUCUUGUAAACAUUACAAAUAGCUUUAAUUACCCCUAAUUUAAUCCUAGGAAUAUGAAGUUAAUCUUAUACCUGGAUAGCAAAUUUGAGUUGCAAAAGCAGUCUCAGUCUCCUAAUUCCCGGUUUCGACAUUGCACUCCACCAAAGAGACAAAUUAUAGCCUUUUCUGCCAAAACAUGAGCGCCGCCGACUAAUCCCUUAUGUAUAUGCAUUAGAUAACGGCCUUACCCUCUAACUUAAGUCAUUCCACGUAGGCCAGCACAGAAAUAAUGUGGGCCUAGCCCAUUUUUUUUAUCUAUAUUUAUUAUUCUAAUUAUUUAUUACCCAACUAAUAUGUGUAAUAUAGGCUCACUAAUUAUUUAGUUAAUCUCAAUCUCAAAAAUAAUAAGUAUAUCAAAAUAUUUUGGGUUAUUACAUUCUACCCACUUAAAGAACAUUCGUCCUCGAAUGUUAAGCGAGUAAUACCCUAGAAAAGAGAGGUAUGAAUACCUCAUCGUUAAGCUCAUCUUAUAUUUGCAUAUUUACCCUACAUAUGCCUUUUGUAACUCGUUUGGAAUCUUAUUAACAACUACCACUAUCCCAAGGGUCAGAAUCUCUACCCUAUUGUCUUAAAUCAUAAUUAGAUAUGUUGAACACCUUUUUAUUCAUCUCAUAUAAAACUUUCGUAUUAGGAAAUUCCUCGCCUAUGGCAAUCGCUAAGAUCAUAAGGAACAUCAAAUCUAAUAUCUUUUACCCGACAAUUGUGCAUGAUACCAAUCAAUCUGUGCAAAUAUUAACAUUAAAGACAGACCUCCGCACCACUGGUAGAUCUACUAUGGUGUCCCAUCUAUGAACAAAUAUCACACAUUCUCUAUUUACUCUAUCCACAAAUAUAGUCUUCUUACUAGGAUCAUCACCACGUAUGGCACAUUGGGCUUACUAAAUAUGACAAAACCAGUCAAUUCAGGCCCAAGUUCACUUAAAUAUCAACAGUUCAAACCAUAACGAAUUCGCAAUCAUCCCUCUGUCCUAACUGUGAUCCCACGUGUCUAAUAAACAUAAUCAAUAAUAGUAGGCUCCCUCACUUGUGUAAAAUUAUUCGUUUCCAGUUAUCGCAUCACUUUAUCAAUAUUCAAACUAUCUCAACUCAUGUAGUACAAGAUACAACAUCAUGGCAAUUGUCAGAACUGAACAUUAAAUUCAAUAAUAUUUGUGUUAAUUCUUUUCAAGUAUUUCAACUCUUUGAAUUGUCUAUCUCUCUCGUAUACGGUGCAUGACAGUCUACAUACUAUACGUUCUACCCUUAUUUUAAUAGCUAAUCAUGCCACUACUCACUAGGUUUCAUACUCACCCUUUUACAUAUUGGCACAUUAAGCGUUAUACUUAAGUCAUACUUUCUCCCACAUAUCAGAAUUCAUUAAGAGACCCCAAGUAGAAUAUGUUGUACCUUUUACAUCACAUAGUACCUCUAUUAAGAUCAUACUCAAUGCACUUAAAUUAGAAUUGUCAUGCCACAAUUGCACAUAAUAUUACCAUCACGAUAUCACUAGUAAUAUCAUCACUUCAAAUGACAUUAAGCUUAGACGAUAAGCAUCUUCCUCAUAAUAUCUUUCACGCCAAGUCUAACUCUAGAGGUGUUGAAGCUAUUGUUACCUAACACAUCUUACUUCUGCGUCCAAUCUUUUCUUCUUCAAAUCGAACUCAUAAUAUCGAGUUGUAUCCAUAAUGUUGAAUAUUGAACACGUCGCUCUCAAGAAGAAAUGAAAUCCUUAGACCACUUUACAAUUCAAACAUAUUUCAACAUUCAAAAAUUUGACUAACUCUCAAACCUAAAUUAUUAUUUUUUUUUUUGAAUUUUUUUUUUGGCACGCGUUCCUUCGAAAAUAGAGUUAUCCCAAAUUUUACAGCAAGUAAAAUAUCAACUAUCACCAAUGUGCAUAACAUUUCAUGUACUCAAUACUACUGUCAAUCGCCCGUAUAUUGUAAGAAACUUCCAAAUCAAUUAUGCCGUCUAGCAGAGGAGGAUACACGCGGCUUAGCCAUUUUCUAAAAGGACAUUCUAAAAAUAAACUUGAUUCAACUUAACGCACGAAUAACGAACGAAAGAAUAAAACAUCCUAAAUGUUUAGUAGCCUCAAGCUCAUAAGUAUGGGCGCCUACAUGCCCAUGAACAAGACUCUACUAGACACUGCUCCAUGACCUGGGACAUAAAGCCUAAGCUCUGAUAUCAACUUUGUCACGUCCUAAACUACCCCGUAGAUAUGAGUGGCACCCAACUAACACCACCUGCCGGGAGAACCAUACUUUCUUACCUUAGCCAUUUAUUUGUAGCAUUUGAUUAUUUAAAUGAGUAUCCAAAUAAUCUGAUAACUAUUACGAACAAUUAAUAUCUCAAAAUAUUAGAUUAAAACUCUGCCCCAAAUCUCACACUAGACCACGGAGCAUCUAAGAGAAUUACAAAUGACCUCAUAUGAAUAAAUGAUAAAGACUCUUUGGAUAGCCUCCACGAACAAUGCGGCGGCUCACCUCAAUAACUUAAUCAACUCUAGCGAACUCGUCAGCUACUAUCACCUUCUUCACCAAUAGUAUCUGCAUGGACAUGCAAGUAAGGAGUGAGUUAUACGUAAAUAUAACCCAGUAAGAUAAUCGACCCGCCACUCUGAUUACCUCUGGAACAAGUGUUAGAAAAACAAACACACAACGAGCACACAAAUAAUAUGUACAGAAAUUAAUAACUAUAUAAGGUCCAAACAAUUAUUCAAUAACAAUACUAUAUAUACCUCAACACAAUGACUUGUCAGUAACGACAAUGUACAAAAUUAACCAAACACCCCAAACGAGUCCACGACAGCAUGCACAAUGCCCCAAAUCUAUCAUGGUAGCAUACACAAUGCCCCAAAUAUAUAGUGGCGGUAUACACAAUGCCCCAUAAUCUAUCACGGCGGCAUACAUUAUGCCCCAAAUAUAUAGCGGCGGCAUACACAAUGCCCCAAAUCUAUCACAACGGCAUACACAAUGCCCCAAAUAUAUAGCGGCAGCAUACACAAUGCCCCAAAUAUAUUACGGCAACGAAGAAAUAAUUUCUAAUGCUCCAACGUCAUAGCACAAGGCUACGCCACAUCACACUACACUACAAAUCACUUAUUAAAUAAUUUUGGCUGUUAAAAAAAUAAUAUAUAUAUAUAUAUAUAUAUAUAUGUAUUUGCGGCUGGUCAAAGACCAUGAUUUUGCCAAGCGCAUGCUCGUUCCAACACAUGGACCAGGCAAAAAUAAAACAUACUUUCAAACGGAUUUUAGAAAAGCAAGCACCCAAAGCUUAAAGUCUUAUUUACCUCACAAAUGACAAGUUUCACAACCUUGCGACUUCUAGAACACCAACCAAACAGCCUCCAAUUGACUCAAUCUAUCUAAAAUAUUAAUUAACAAUGUCAACUAUGCUAGUCGGGUUAAUUUCUUAUAUUAGAGUACAAUUUGAUUCUCGGCAUAUGGAAUGUUAACUACUCGAAUAAUCUUUUAGCUACAUAGAUAUUCAAAAGCACAUUAAAGCUCAUUCAGACUAAAUUUAUUCCUAAGUAGAAUAUGAUAGUGUCGGUUUCAUGGAUACAUGUGAAUCUUUACCUGAAGAAUGAAUAUAUAUAAAUACAAUUAGUCCAAUAUUGUAUGAUGUUUUCUGGAACAGAUUCCUAUGCCAAGUAUUCUGACUCCAUAAUACCAAUCUUAAAGAGCUUUGUUAUUAUUAAUUAAUACUAAGGUUCUAUUAUAAGAAUCUAUGUAUUUUUCCAAGGUUUUCUAAGUAUAUGUCUGCCAUGAUCAGUAUGUAUCCAAAGUAAUUCUUGUAAAUAUUACAAAUAGCUUUAAUUACCCCUAAUUUAAUCCUAGGAAUAUGAAGUUAAUCUUAUACCUGGAUAGCAAAUUUGAGUUGCAAAAGCAGUCUCAGUCUCCUAAUUCCCGGUUUCGACAAUGCACUCCCCCAAAGAGACAAA